rnacentral:tRNA from 7 species
GGAGAGGUGUCCGAGUGGUCGAAGGUGCUUGACUCGAAAUCAAGUGUCCUGUCAAAGGGACCGUGGGUUCGAAUCCCACCCUCUCCGCCA